AGGUCUUGACAUCCUUCUGACCGGCCUAGAGAUAGGCUUUCUCUUCGGAGCAGAAGUGACAGGUGGUGCAUGGUU
rnacentral:rRNA from 1 species